GAUGAACGCUGGCGGCGUGCCUAAUACAUGCAAGUCGAGCGAACGGACGAGAAGCUUGCUUCUCUGAUGUUAGCGGCGGACGGGUGAGUAACACGUGGAUAACCUACCUAUAAGACUGGGAUAACUUCGGGAAACCGGAGCUAAUACCGGAUGAUAUUUUGAACCGCAUGGUUCAAAAGUGAAAGACGGUUUUGCUGUCACUUAUAGAUGGAUCCGCGCUGCAUUAGCUAGUUGGUAAGGUAACGGCUUACCAAGGCAACGAUGCGUAGCCGACCUGAGAGGGUGAUCGGCCACACUGGAACUGAGACACGGUCCAGACUCCUACGGGAGGCAGCAGUAGGGAAUCUUCCGCAAUGGGCGAAAGCCUGACGGAGCAACGCCGCGUGAGUGAUGAAGGUCUUCGGAUCGUAAAACUCUGUUAUUAGGGAAGAACAUAUGUGUAAGUAACUAUGCACAUCUUGACGGUACCUAAUCAGAAAGCCACGGCUAACUACGUG
rnacentral:rRNA from 1 species